rnacentral:rRNA from 1 species
UACGUAGGGUGCAAGCGUUAAUCGGAAUUACUGGGCGUAAAGCGUGCGCAGGCGGUUAUGCAAGACAGAUGUGAAAUCCCCGGGCUCAACCUGGGAACUGCAUUUGUGACUGCAUGGCUAGAGUACGGUAGAGGAGGAUGGAAUUCCGCGUGUAGCAGUGAAAUGCGUAGAUAUGCGGAGGAACACCGAUGGCGAAGGCAAUCCCCUGGACCUGUACUGACGCUCAUGCACGAAAGCGUGGGGAGCAAACAGG